rnacentral:misc_RNA from 1 species
UUUCCGUAGGUGAACCUGCGGAAGGAUCAUUAUGAGAUUCUCGGGGAGGCAAGGCGGGGCCCGAGCGGGCCUUGAACUGCUGACCCCCGGCUGGAAGCGCCGGAAGGUGUCUGACAGUGCAACCCUCUGUGAAACCCUUUUGCCGCCUAGGCAGCCUCUCCUCCGGAGCGGUAAGCCUGCCGGCGGUAUCAAGGAAACUCCUGAAUAAAACCACACCUUUGUCUGAAUAAAGCAGUCGAAUGACCAUAAAACUUUCAACAACGGAUCUCUUGGUUCCCGCAUCGAUGAGAACGCAGC